CGGUUAAACCAGAAGAUUGAGUUAUAUUUAUAUGGUAAAAAGGUGGUUAAACAAUAUAUAAUCUUAUAAUUAUAUAUAAAAAAGUAAAAUUUAUAUAUAUAUAAAUUAUUCUAAAAUGGUUAAUAAAGUUGAAUCCACGAUAGCUUUAGGGGAAACUGGGAUUAGAUACCCCAUUAUUUUUAGCCGUAAAUUUAUUUUACCAGAGUAUUACGAACAUGUAAAUUUAAAACUCAAAGGGCUUGGCGGUGUUUUAGACUUCCCAGGGGAACUUGUUCCAUAAUCGAUAAUCCACGAUAUAUCUAACCUCUAUUUGUAAACAGUUUGUAUACCAUUAUCGACAGGUGACUUUUUAAAAAAAUAAAAGUUAGCAAUUUAAAUUUUAUUAAUUAGGACGUUAAAUCAAGGCGCAGCUAAUAUAGAGGAGAGGAUGAGUUACAAUUAAAAUUUAUAAUACGGAUUAAUUAGUGAAAUCUUUUUAUAAAGGUGGACUUGGAAGUAAAAUAAAUUAUAUAAAUAUAUUGAAUUUGGCUCUGAAACGUGUACUAANCCCGC
rnacentral:rRNA from 1 species